UACGGAGGGAGCUAGCGUUGUUCGGAAUUACUGGGCGUAAAGCGCGCGUAGGCGGGGGUCCAAGUCCGCUGUGAAAGCCCGGGGCUCAACUCCGGAAUUGCCUUUAAAACUGCAUCGCUAGAAUUGUGGAGAGGUAAGUGGAAUUCCGAGUGUAGAGGUGAAAUUCGUAGAUAUUCGGAAGAACACCAGUGGCGAAGGCGACUUACUGGACACAUAUUGACGCUGAGGUGCGAAAGCGUGGGGAGCAAACAGG
rnacentral:rRNA from 1 species